rnacentral:misc_RNA from 1 species
GUCUAUCACAUGAUGGAGCCACCCAUGGAGUACUAUGAGAUCGUCAAUACAGAAAUCACCCAGGACGACGACCAGCUCGAUGUCAAUGUCAGCCGCCCCCUCCUCCAAGAGGCCGAGUGGCCGGAUCUCGCCGACAAGGAGACCCGGCACUGUAAGACCCCCUUCAUCGCCAGAAUCUUUGCCAGCAUCUCCGGCUCCUCCCAGACCACCUUCCCCGACCUCGACCUCACGGAAGAAGGCUCUGGCGCCGCCCCGAGCAGCCCCAAGUCGAUUCGCUGCUUGGCGGAGCCUAAAGUUGUCCGACGAAUCAGAAUCGUGGCCGAGAGGACUCCGAUUCAGC